GUCUUAGGACACCUUUGGAUUCAAUCGUGAAAAGAACGCGUAAUUUCUGAGCGGC
rnacentral:snoRNA from 1 species